CAGCCGCCGCGGUAAUGCGAAGGGGGCUAGCGUUGCUCGGAAUGACUGGGCGUAAAGGGCGCGUAGGCGGUCACGAUAGUCAGAUGUGAAAUUCCUGGGCUUAACCUGGGGACUGCAUUUGAUACUGUGUGGCUUGAGUGUGGAAGAGGGUCGUGGAAUUCCCAGUGUAGAGGUGAAAUUCGUAGAUAUUGGGAAGAACACCGGUGGCGAAGGCGGCGACCUGGUCCAUAACUGACGCUGAGGCGCGAAAGCGUGGGGAGCAAACAGGAUUAGAUACCCCCGUAGUCCCUGUCUCUUAUAC
rnacentral:rRNA from 1 species